rnacentral:rRNA from 1 species
GCAACUCGCCUGUAUGAAGUCGGAAUUGCUAGUAAUCGUGGAUCAGCAUGCCACGGUGAAUACGUUCCCGGGCCUUGUACACACCGCCCGUCACACCAUGAGAGCCGGAACACCCGAAGUCCGUAGUCUAACCUAUAUGGAGGACGCGGCCGAAGGUGGGUUUGGUAAUUGGGGUGAAGUCGUAACAAGGUAUC